CAAAAAUAUCAUUAAUAAAUCUAUUCAAGACGAUGGUUUGGUAAGCUAUAUUUUAUAAUUUUUAUUUUCUUUCUUUUCUAAUAUGAGAAUAAUGAUGUAAGAUGGGUGUGCAUAGCAUGACCUGGUUCUAUCAGGGAAGAAGUUAUUGUCACAAACAAAACUGGCUGAAGAAGACGCUGAGAGGAAUGUGAAGAAGAACAUCAGGAGGGAAAAACACUUGAUGAGAGAAAAGGGACAUGUGAUACCAGCAAAUUAUUUGGAUGCACUUAAAGAGUUUUAAUUGGUGUUACAAAAGGAGGUAGUGGUUUCUUACUAUAUAUAUAGAUAUAUGCAGUAGUUCUCACUGUAAAGAUUUA